UGAAUGGCGCAAUUGGUUAGCGCGCGGUACUUAUAAUGCCGAGGUUGUGAGUUCGAUCCUCACCUGGGGAA
rnacentral:tRNA from 1 species